rnacentral:misc_RNA from 1 species
AAAAUGCGAUACGCAAUGCGAAUUGCAGAAUUCCGCGAAUCAUCAGAUCCUUGAACGCAACUGGCACUAGAGGGCUAUCCUUCUAGUAUGCCUGUUUCAGUGUCUAAUAACAUCCUAUCUUACCACAAUGUGUUUGACAAGGGGUCUCCUAUUGAGAUUUACCCAAAUCUUACAUGAAAGAUGUAUGUGUGGGUCUUUGGAGCCUUCGAAUCUGUCACUGAUGUUUCAGUGAAUUCGAAAGUUCUCUAAUUACCGGUGCACAUAGAACCAAAACUACUCUAAACCCUACAUCUGAAAUCAGGCAAGAACACCCGCUGAACUUAA